GAUUUCUUUCCAACAUCCAUGCAAUCUCCCAGCAUCUCAGGAUUCCUCCCAGCUGCAACCAGUUCUUUCCCAACCGUGUCAUUCUUCCUCGGAUUUCCUCCCAGCAGCUUCAUCCUCUCCACGUCUCAGCACCCCACGUAUUAUCUUCAUCUUAUCUUCAUCUUCCGGAUAAGAUCAAAUCCCAGUUCACGGCUCUUCACUCCUUCCCAGCCGAAGGAUUCUUUCAAAGUUCUCCUCCCAGCCAUUACGCUCCACAUCACAGCCGAGUCCCAAGCUUCAACGUCCCAGCUCCCCUGUUCCAGCUUGCAGCCUCAUCCCAAGUUCACAUACCCACUCCUCCCAGCCGUAUCCUUCUUCCGAACCAAGCCAACUUCCCUCCCGGAUGAGAACCAGCAACCACUUCAUCCUGUUCGUGAUAAGCAUCCAGCAUACAUGGGAUAGGUCCUAGGCAUCUGUUCACAGCAUCAAUCUUCUUCCGAAUCCCCUGUUUCCCGCAUCAGUCCGAAUGAACUCCAUCCAUCUUCCGCAAUCCAGCAAGAUAUCCUCCCACCCGCAUCUCAGCCGGAAGCUAUCAUCCCCCAUCAGCCGAGAUCCUCCUAACGUCACAAAAUCUUCUUCCGCAUCCCCUGUACGUGAAGAAGCAUCGGUUCCCCUGCAUCCACAACGUUCCGAUCCUCUCGUGAUGCAUGCAAAAGGUCCCACGUCCAUGAGCAACUUCCUCCGAAUUCCAUUCACGAAUAGAUCCCAGCAUCCUGUGCUUGUCCCGGCCGUCCACGUAGGCUUUCUCCUCAUCCUCUUCUCCGGAUCACACCAGUGAAUCUCCCGAAUCACCUGCGAUCGAGAUCAUCUCCCAGCUCAUUCCUGGCGUUCCAGCUCCCCUGUCCCGAGUGCAUCCUUAUCCAACGCUCGGAUUAAAUCUGCUACGUGUCUCGCCCGUGUCAGUUUCUUGGCUCUUAUCUUCCCACGAUGUGAUGAGAUAACAGGAGCGGGCAGCCUAUAAAAGAGAACCAGAUGCGAAGGGUGGGGGUAUUCCUACUCACCGAAUAAUCAAUCAUCGUGUUCCCAGGUGGAGUUCCCACAGAAGUCCAAAAGGGAGAGGAAACCGACGGGAGGAAGGAGCUAAUCAUCAUGAAGUCCCCUGCAGUGCAACUGUUCAACUCUUCAUGGAAGGCUAAUCUUUUCACUGGGGCUGGAUGCAGCCCUAACAAAGGGCCAAAGGUCCAGUCCUAUAGUUCCCAAGUCAUAUACCGUGGUUUAGUUUCUCCCGCAUCCAAUUGAGUUCAACAUCUCAAGAUUAGUUUCAUCCUCUCCACGUUGCACUAUUUGAACCCAUACCACGACCGUAGAUUAGCAAUCAUCCCAUUCGUGAUCAGCCAGCUCAAUCCCAUCUUCUCCGUGAUCCUCUUCCUCCUUAAAUCCUUCUUCCACGUCAUUGCUUUCCUCCCCUGUUUAAGCUUCGAAACAGAAUGAAUCCAAGCUCCCUUCUUCGGAAUAGAAUCCCAUCGUCCACGGGCAAAUCUCUUCUUCCCAACGUCAUCGUCAACUUCUCAUCCGAACCAGCCAGUGUUCCGGAUUAAUCCCAGGCAUCCGCUCCCAAGCCGUCAGCCAAAUCCAAACUCACCUCAUCUACGGAUUCACUCCAGAUCCCACGCCUAUCCUCUGAGGUCUCCCACGAACAGCACCCCAGCAAAUCUCAGAAUCCCAUCUUCACCUCCCACCCAAUCCUCCGUAGGAUCAACGGGAUAAGCUCACAUUCCAUCCUCUUCCGGCUUGAUCCCAUGGAAUCUCCCAACGUCCAAAGCUCUCUUCCCAGCGAAUCCAACCUUCCAUCAUCCGAACAGAGCUACAUCUUCUUCCGGAUCGAUCUCACAUUCGUAAUCAUCCUUAUCCCUUCCGCGUUCAAAGCCCCAGCUCAUCUCCUCUGUUUCGCAUAUCUCUUUCCUUCCGGAUGAGAACCAGCAUCCCGCCUCCUCCCAUGAUCGGGUGAUCCGCGAUUCAUCUUCAUCCCGUGAGCAACCCAAACCUCCCAGCUAUCAGCCGAGAUCCUCUCAGCUUCAUGGAUCGUAUUCCAUCUCUCAGCCGUGCGCAUCCAUUCCGGGA